UACGUAGGGGCCUAGCGUUGUCCGGAUUUAUUGGGCGUAAAGAGCGUGUAGGCGGCCAGGUAGGUCCGGUGUGAAAACUCGAGGCUUAACCUCGAGAUGUCAUCGGAAACCAUCUGGCUAGAGUCCGGAAGAGGAAAGUGGAAUUCCUGGUGUAGCGGUGAAAUGCGCAGAUAUCAGGAAGAACACCAAUGGCGAAAGCAGCUUUCUGGGACGGUACUGACGCUGAGACGCGAAAGCGUGGGGAGCGAACAGG
rnacentral:rRNA from 1 species